GUGGGGAAUAUUGGACAAUGGGCGGAAGCCUGAUCCAGCCAUGCCGCGUGUGUGAAGAAGGCCUUUUGGUUGUAAAGCACUUUAAGCGAGGAGGAGGCUCCUUUAGUUAAUACCUAAAGAGAGUGGACGUUACUCGCAGAAUAAGCACCGGCUAACUCUGUGCCAGCAGCCGCGGUAAUACAGAGGGUGCGAGCGUUAAUCGGAUUUACUGGGCGUAAAGCGCGCGUAGGUGGCCAAUUAAGUCAAAUGUGAAAUCCCCGAGCUUAACUUGGGAAUUGCAUUCGAUACUGGUUGGCUAGAGUAUGGGAGAGGAUGGUAGAAUUCCAGGUGUAGCGGUGAAAUGCGUAGAGAUCUGGAGGAAUACCGAUGGCGAAGGCAGCCAUCUGGCCUAAUACUGACGCUGAGGUACGAAAGCAUGGGGAGCAAACAGGAUUAGAUACCCCUGUAGUCC
rnacentral:rRNA from 1 species